GGCAAAAGGAAGACACUACGUGACCUUACUGAUAACGUGAUAUAUAACCAUUCACAUGACAAGUGCUUUUGUUAAAUUCUGUCUUAUCUGAGCGAAUUCGAAGGGAAUUUCAGAAAUAGUGCAAAACCUUAUAAAGGACUUUAUCUGCGUGAUUUAGUUGUAUUUCAAUACCCCAAGGUGGAUAAAAGGUUUGAAGGACGCAUCAAAUAGAUAGCAGUAUGCGGUUGUCGCUUAUGUUCGUGACGUUAGCGUGCCUGCUCUUGUUGUUGAGUGCACCGGAAGGAACAGACGGACGACGGUGGCGGAUGAGAAGAACUUGCCGGGGAAAGCGCUGCCCUCCUGGUAGGCGGUGCGCGAUGAUGGGAGGUAUUCCUAGGUGCAGGGGAGGCAAUAUUUAUCUCAGACCGGGACAGGCAUCAGGUCAGCAAGGCGGAAUCUGACCGCUGGAUGUAACGUGGUGAAUUUAAACCGGCAGUGCCCGUGCUUUAAAGACAAACCAACAUUGGUGUGGUAUUAAUAAUGAGGCUCACAUAAUAUAUUUUACCUUAAAACACUAUGAUUGUUUUGUUCAUGAUACUAGGUCGUUUAAGUGUGUAUCUGGUUAUUUUUGCUUUAUAUGUUUUUAAUUGAAUUGAAAACACACACACGCACGCAAGAACGCACACACGCACGCAAGAACGCACACACACAACACACGCACGUAAGCACACACACAUACACAACAAAAAACUGUUAACAUGUUCUUGGAGGAAGUUUAAUUGUAAAAAGAAAACAUGAUUAAACACGA